rnacentral:lncRNA from 1 species
GCACUGGUGGCCAGGCCAUGGGAGCCUUGAGACUCCCCCUCAGGCUCCGUGUCCCCUCCAACCCCUGCUGUGGGAGUGCAAUUGUGUUUCAACACUGUGACCACACAGAGACUUUCUAGUUUGUGGGCUGCUGUAGAUGGGCACGUGUGAACACGAUUGUACAGAGAUCCCUGAGUGUGUGUGCACACAGGCAUACACACCGUCUGUGUGCUUUUGCUCGGUGUGUGUAUGUUUUAAAUCUCCCCUGGGUGGUAACUCUCUUUUUUCUCCUCUUCCUGUUUGGCUGUGACCUGGGGGAGAUUGAUAGCCAGCCUGUGUGGUGGAUGCUAACAGUUCCCCUGAUUUAUAGAGUUACUUACGCUAAGUGAGGCCACUUAGACGCGUCUGGAUAGUAAACCUUUUAACUGGACUAAAAAAUCAUAAUAAAUAAAUAAACAAAGGGGGGUAAGCUAGGGCCCAGUGGCCAAGCCCUGCCCACUCCCCAGCUUAGAGCCCUUGAGGACCAGGGACCUGCCUGAGAACCCCAGGGGAGCAGUGGCCAUUCCUCCCUUCAGAAAAAACUCAGAGGCCCUUCUGUUCUGAGCUGGAGAUGGGAUCAGGAAGGACCCCCUCUCCCAGGGGGCCUCUCAGGGACAGGUCUUGGUAGGAAAUGAGGGAAGGGAACUGCUCAGCUGGAGAUGGGCUCUGAGGGAGAAAGCAUGGGCCUAGCAACCUUCCCUUCUGCUCUUGUGGCACCAGUGCUCCAUGUCAGGGAGAUGGUCUGGUAGUGACUUUUGAAUAUUGUUGCCUUGUCUGAACUGCAUAGUCCCUGAUGUAGGAACCAGGGUGACGUAGGACCCAGGACUGCCUGUCUUGCUCACAUCGUAGCCUCAGAAUUCAGCCCGAGCCUGGAUGGAAGUAGGUGCCCCAUGCGUGCCACUGAAUGGGGGCUUGUGGUCUGUGAGGUUCCAAUCCUC